rnacentral:tRNA from 1 species
CGGGGUGUAGCGCAGUUGGCUAGCGUACCAGCAUGGGGUGCUGGUGGUCGUGGGUUCGAGUCCCGCCACCCCGA